GACGAACGCUGGCGGCGUGCCUAAUACAUGCAAGUCGAACGCAGUGGGGACGGGUGAGUAACACGUGGGUAACCUCCCGUCAGAGGGGAUAACACUUGGACACAGGUGCUAAACCGAUACUGAUGGAUGGACCCGCGGUGCAUUAGCUAGUUUGUGAGGUAACGGCUCACCAGGGCCACGAUGCAUAGCCGAUCUGGGAGGGGGAUCGGCCACACUGGGACGGAGACACGGCCCAGACUCCUACGGGAGGCAGCAGUAGGGAACCUGCGGCAAUGGACGAAAGUCUGACCGAGCAACGCGACGUGAGGGAAGAAGGUUUUCGGAUCGAAAAACUCUGUUGUUAGAGAGGCGGUAUCGAACCAGAAAGCCACGGCUAACUACGUGCCAGCAGCCGCGGUAAUAC
rnacentral:rRNA from 1 species